UUCGGGAACCGUGAGACAGGUGCUGCAUGGCUGUCGUCAGCUCAUGUUGUGAAAUGUUGGGUUAAGUCCCGCAACGAGCGCAACCCUUAUCCUUUGUUGCCGGCGAUACGGUCGGGAACUCAAAGGAGACUGCCGGUGAUAAACCGGAGGAAGGUGGGGAUGACGUCAAGUCAUCAUGGCCCUUACGGCCAGGGCUACACACGUGCUACAAUGGCGCAUACAAAGAGAAGCGACCUCGCGAGAGCAAGCGGACCUCAUAAAGUGCGUCGUAGUCCGGAUCGGAGUCUGCAACUCGACUCCGUGAAGUCGGAAUCGCUAGUAAUCGUAGAUCAGAAUGCUACGGUGAAUACGUUCCCGGGCCUUGUACACACCGCCCGUCACACCAUGGGAGUGGGUUGCAAAAGAAGUAGGUAGCUUAACCUUCGGGAGGGCGCUUACCACUUUGUGAUUCAUGACUGGGGUGAAGUCGUAACAAGGUAACCAAGGGCGAAUUCUG
rnacentral:rRNA from 1 species